rnacentral:rRNA from 1 species
CCCUUAGAUGUCCUGGGCUGCACGCGCGCUACACUGAUGCAUUCAACGAGCCUAUCCUUGACCGACAGGUCCGGGUAAUCUUUGAAUCUGCAUCGUGACGGGGAUAGAUUAUUGCAAUUAUUAAUCUUCAACGAGGAAUGCCUAGUAGGCGCAAGUCAUCAGCUUGCGUCGAUUACGUCCCUGCCCUUUGUACACACCGCCCGUCGCUCCUACCGAUUGGGUGUGCUGGUGAAAUGUUCGGAUCGGCCGUUUGUCGCGGUUUCCGCGUCAUGUGGCUGAGAAGUUCAUUAAACCCUCCCACCUAGAGGAAGGAGAAGUCGUAACA